AUUGAACGCUGGCGGCAGGCUUAACACAUGCAAGUCGAGCGAGCGGCGUACGUGUGAGUAAUGUCUGUGAAACUGCCUGAUUGAUGGGGAUAACUACUGGAAACGGUAGCUCAUACCGCAUACCAUCGGAUGUGCCCAUAUGGGAUUAGCUAGUAGGUGGGGUAAUGGCUCACCUAGGCGACGAUCCCUAGCUGGUCUGAGAGGAUGAGCAGCCACACUGUAACUGAGACACGGGCCAGACGCCUACGGGAGGCAGCAGUGGGGAAUAGUGCACAAUGGGCGCAAGCCUGAUGCAGCCAUGCAGCGUGUGUGAAGAAGGCCUUCGGGUUGUAAAGCACUUUAAGCGGGGAGGCGUUACUCGCAGAAGAAGCACCGGCUAACUCCGUGCCAGCAGCCGCGGUAAUAC
rnacentral:rRNA from 1 species